GAUGAACGCUAGCGGCAGGCUUAACACAUGCAAGUCGAGGGGCAGCAUAAAGUAAACUUGUUUACUUGGUGGCGACCGGCGCACGGGUGAGUAACGCGUAUGCAACCUACCCUGUUCUGGGGGAUAGCCCGGAGAAAUCCGGAUUAACACCCCAUGGUAAUUGAGAGUGGCAUCACCUUCAAUUUAAAGGUUACGGAACA
rnacentral:rRNA from 1 species